GUUUUAAUGCUCACUUAGGCAACACAUAUACUAAAACUGGAGCAAGGCUGAGAAGAUUAGCAUAGCACCUGCUCAGGGAGGACAUGCAGAUUUGUGAAGUGUUUCAUUUUUUU
rfam:Myotis lucifugus cont2.24250, whole genome shotgun sequence.